GGAAGUAAAAGUCGUAACNAAGGUUUCCGUAGGUGAACCUGCGGAAGGAUCAUUAUCGUUAAACCGAGGCGCGAGGCUCACACAAUCCAUCUCACCCUUUGUGCAUCACCGCGUGGGUCCCCCUUGCGGGAGGGCUCGCGUUUUCACAUAAAACUCGAUACAGUGUAGAAUGUUCUUUUGCGAUCACACGCAAUCAAUACAACUUUCAACAACGGAUCUCUUGGCUCUCGCAUCGAUGAAGAACGCAGCGAAAUGCGAUACGUAAUGUGAAUUGCAGAAUUCAGUGAAUCAUCGAAUCUUUGAACGCACCUUGCGCCCCUUGGCAUUCCGAGGGGCACACCCGUUUGAGUGUCGUGAAAUCCUCAAAAACCCUUUUCCUGUCAGGAAUGGGAUUUUUGGACUUGGAGGUUCAAUGCUUGCCUUUCACUUUUGAAAGUGAGCUCCUCUCAAAUGAAUUAGUGGGGUCCGCUUUGCUGAUCCUUAACGUGAUAAGAUGCUUAAUCGGGUGAGACUACCCGCUGAACUUAAGCAUAUCAAUA
rnacentral:rRNA from 1 species